GAUGAACGCUAGCGGCAGGCCUAACACAUGCAAGUCGAGGGGUAGAAGGAGCUUGCUCCUUUGAGACCGGCGCACGGGUGCGUAACGCGUAUGCAAUCUACCUUUUACAGAGGGAUAGCCCAGAGAAAUUUGGAUUAAUACCUCAUAGUAUAUAUCAUUCGCAUGUUUGGUAUAUUAAAGUUCCAACGGUAAAAGAUGAGCAUGCGUCCCAUUAGUUAGUUGGUAAGGUAACGGCUUACCAAGACGAUGAUGGGUAGGGGUCCUGAGAGGGAGAUCCCCCACACUGGUACUGGGACACGGACCAGACUCCUACGGGAGGCAGCAGUGAGGAAUAUUGGUCAAUGGACGCAAGUCUGAACCAGCCAUGCCGCGUGCAGGAAGACGGUCCUAUGGAUUGUAAACUGCUUUUGUACGGGAAGAAACACUCCUACGUGUAGGAGCCUGACGGUACCGUAAGAAUAAGGAUCGGCUAACUCCGUGCCAGCCGCCGCGGUAAUAC
rnacentral:rRNA from 1 species